AAUAAUUGAUUUAUAAUUAAUUCUUUUUUCCUUUUUUUCCAAAAAAUAAUUAUAUUCUUAGUAGAAAGUUUAUUGAAUAGCAUUUUUAUAAAUUAUAUUUUAUUAGUACUGUGAAGGAAAAUCUCUUCAUUGCUGAAAAGAAUCCUUUAUUUGGAGUACCUUUUGUAUCAGGGUUUAUCAAAAUUAUUUUAAUAUAUUAAUACAUCCCGAAAUUAUGAGAUAUAUAUUAUUAUGGAGGUUGUUGUUACAAUAACAUCUUGAAUAGUAAUAUAGAGGUUAUAUGUCUUUCGUUCAUAAUAUAUCUGGUUUCUAAAGAUUCGAAUUUAAUUCGACUAUUUUAUUUCAUCAAAAUUACAUUUGUAGUGAUAUAAGAUUGAAAAAUUAACAGGGAUUAGCUUGUUAAUAAUAUAUAAUAUUAUAAUUUAUAUAUUUUUAGUAGGAUUAGAAACUUCCAUCAUUAAUUUCGUUAUAGUUUAUUUUAAUGUUCAUAUAAUUUAGUAUAUAUUUAUUUUUAUAUUUAGAUUAUUUUAGUAAUAGAAAAUAAAAUUGUAUAAAUGAUUUAAUUAGUAUUUUUAAAAAUAAGAUAUAGUAAUUCGGCAAAUCAAAUCCUCGCCUGUUUAACAAAAACAUGUCUUUUUGUUUUUUAUAUAAAGUCAGACCUGCCCAAUGAAUUUUAAAUGGCCGCAGUACUUUAACUGUGCAAAGGUAGCAUAAUAAUUUGUUUUUUAAUUGGAAACUAGUAUGAAUGGUCAUACGAGGGAUUGACUUUCUUUAUCUUACUUAAAUUAAUUUUAUUUUUCUGUGAAAAAGCAGAGAUUUCAUUAGUAGACGAUAAGACCCUUUAAAACUUUAUUCAUUAUAGAAGUAUAAUUUUGUUAGGUUUUAAUAGUGUACUUUUUUAAUGAGUUUUGUUGGGGCGACAGGUAAAUUUAUUUAACUUUAUUUUUGUUUUUCACUAAUUAGUGUUUAUUUGAUCCAGAUUUAGUUUUGAUUAUAAGUUUAAGUUACUUAAGGGAUAACAGCGUAAUCUUGUUGGAGAGUUCUUAUUGAUGGCGAGGUUUGCGACCUCGAUGUUGGAUUAAAAUUAAUAUUAGGUGUAGCCGCUUAAUAAUUAGGUCUGUUCGACCUUUAAUUUUUUACAUGAUCUGAGUUCAGACCGGCGUGAGCCAGGUCGGUUUCUAUCUUUAAUUAGUAUUAAUUACUCUAGUACGAGAGGACCGAGUAGUUGGAAUAAUUUUUUUAAUUGAUCAUUAUU
rnacentral:rRNA from 1 species